AGACCGAUAGCGAACAAGUAGAGUGAUCGAAAGAUGAAAAGUACUUUGGAAAGAGAGUCAAAUAGCACGUGAAAUUGUUGAAAGGGAAGCGCUUGCAGCCAGACUUGCCCGCAGUUGCUCACCUAGGCUUUCGCCUGGGGCACUCUUCUGCGGGCAGGCCAGCAUCAGUUUGGGCGGUCGGAUAAAGGCCUCUGUCAUGUACCACCCCUCGGGGUGGCCUUAUAGGGGAGGCGUAAUGCGACCAGCCCGGACUGAGGUCCGCGCAUCUGCUAGGAUGCUGGCGUAAUGGCUGUAAGCGGCCCGUCUUGAAACACGGACCAAG
rnacentral:rRNA from 1 species